rnacentral:rRNA from 1 species
AGACCGCCUGGGGAGUACGGCCGCAAGGUUAAAACUCAAAUGAAUUGACGGGGGCCCGCACAAGCGGUGGAGCAUGUGGUUUAAUUCGAUGCAACGCGAAGAACCUUACCUGGUCUUGACAUCCACAGAACUUUCCAGAGAUGGAUUGGUGCCUUCGGGAACUGUGAGACAGGUGCUGCAUGGCUGUCGUCAGCUCGUGUUGUGAAAUGUUGGGUUAAGUCCCGCAACGAGCGCAACCCUUAUCCUUUGUUGCCAGCGAUUAGGUCGGGAACUCAAAGGAGACUGCCAGUGAUAAACUGGAGGAAGGUGGGGAUGACGUCAAGUCAUCAUGGCCCUUACGACCAGGGCUACACACGUGCUACAAUGGCGCAUACAAAGAGAAGCGACCUCGCGAGAGCAAGCGGACCUCAUAAAGUGCGUCGUAGUCCGGAUUGGAGUCUGCAACUCGACUCCAUGAAGUCGGAAUCGCUAGUAAUCGUGGAUCAGAAUGCCACGGUGAAUACGUUCCCGGGCCUUGUACACACCGCCCGUCACACCAUGGGAGUGGGUUGCAAAAGAAGUAGGUAGCUUAACCUUCGGGAGGGCGCUUACCACUUUGUGAUUCAUGACUGGGGUGAAGUCGUAACAAGGUAACCGUAGGGGAACCUGCGGUUGGAUCACCUCCUUACCUUAAAGAA